rnacentral:lncRNA from 10 species
GUGUGUUCACUUGGAACCACCCCAUGAGGUGGCCCAAACUUCUGAGCAUGGGUAGUUGUUGCAAAGUUCCAGUUCCUGAUCACACACGGCCCCUUUGUGCCACGCCGAGUUCCUGUGUAUUUGGCUUAUUUGUGGACUUUCUUGUUCCAGGAAUCUUUUUAAAGGGCCAGCAUCAUGCUGUUUCAAUUACAAUGUUCUAAAAACAGCAGAAUUUAAAACAAUUUGACUAGUCUGGCAUAUUUGCUUUUCUGUUUUAACUUUAGAAUCCGCUUGUGUUUUAAAGGAAGGUUUUACAUCUUAAGAUACUGUAUAGCAAAAUGUGAGAAUCAACAGAACUUUCACUUAUUCAGGGCCUGUGUUCCUUAGUAAUGUUAUAAUACCUUUCACAUAGGUGUUUCCCUAUUUGUUACUAGGUAUUUUAUCUUUUUUGGGGGUUGCUAUUGAAAAAAUGACUUCUGGUCAGGUGACAGUUAAGACCCUGUCUCUAAAUAAAAAUAAAAAAUGACCCUCCAUUAUAGCCUAUAUUUAUAGGAAAGCUACUGAUGUUUUUGUUAAUUUUGUGUCUGGUUAACUUGGUGAAUUCUUUCUUCAGUCACAGAUUUUCAUUUGCUCCUUAGAUGACCUGGGUAUGCAACCAUCUAACCUGCAAGUAAUUUCACCUUCUCCUUUCCACUUUUACAGCAUUUCUGUCUAAGUGCUGUUUCUUUUUCAAUGAUUUCUUCUAUACUAUUUGUUUUACCACACUGACCUUUAACAAUAAAACAUUAAAUAUUGCUAAAUAAGAGAAUAGAUAUAAAUAGAUUUUCCUUUCUUUUAUAAAACAGAAACAGGCAGGCCGGGCAUGGUGGCUCACGCCUGUAAUCCCAGCACUUUGGGAGGCCAAGGCGGGCAGAUCACCUGAGGUUAGGAGUUCAAGACCAGUCUGGCCAACAUAGUGAAACCCCGUCUCUACAAAAAUACAAAUAUUAGCUGGGCAUGAUGGCGGGUGCCUGUAAUCCCAGCUACUUGGGAGACUGAGGUGGGAGAACUGCUUGAACCCAGGAGGCGGAGGGUGCAGUGAGCUGAGAUUGCACCACUGCACUCCAGCUUGGGCAACAGAGCAAGACUCCACCUCAAUUAAAAAUAAAUAAACUAAAAUGGAAACAGGAUCUCCCUAUGGUGCUCAGGAUGGUCUGGAACUCAGGCUCAAACGAUCCUCCCACCUUGCCCUCCCAUAGCUGGGACUACAGGCGUGAGCCACUGUGCUCAAAUGAAACAAAGGCACAGCACAACGAAUCGUCCAAGUAAAAAAGACCCACUUGUCACUACCUGGCCCCACUGGUAUUUUGUGGUAGAGGUGGCCAGGAAAGAAUAAUCACUUGAGAGGGGACAGGUGCUCCCUGCUCUGACUUCUGUCUAGUGCACUAGUAGUCAAAGCUGCUAAAGAGUUAUGAAGAAUGUGUCAUUUGCAUAUCACAAAGUUUUAUUAAUGUAA